UACGUACGUGUUUCCGCUCCGACCGACAUUCGUCACACAGAGAGAGACGCGGCGGAAAACAUGUGCAGCAUUGGAGCUUCUCGAAUAAAAUUAAUUUAAGGAUGAUGCAGAAACUGGUUUGGCGUCUCUGUAAGUGCUACUUGCGUCUCCAAACAAUCAGAUGUUUAUCACUGACUUCAGCAUGUGAAGAAAUCAUUCUGACAAAGAUGUGAGAACGACAGACCCUGGAGAAUCUCUGUGACCUUCAAACACACCAACAAAUAAAGGGCAAUAAAACGUUUACAAAGAAA